rnacentral:rRNA from 1 species
GACAGAGGGUGCAAACGUUGCUCGGAAUCAUUGGGCGUAAAGCGUGUGCAGGUGGUCUUGUAAGUUGGAUGUGAAAUCCCCCGGGCUUAACUCGGGGAAGUGCAUUCAAAAACUACAAGACUUGAGUAAGGAAGAGGGGUCGUGGAAUUCCAGGUGUAGUGGUGAAAUACGUAGAUAUCUGGAGGAACACCGGGUGGCGAAGGCGGGCGACCUGGCCUAUACUGACACUCAUACACGAAA